UACGAAGGGGGCUAGCGUUGUUCGGAAUCACUGGGCUUAAAGGGCGCGUAGGCGGGCUGUCAAGUCUGGGGUGAAAUCCCACGGCUCAACCGUCGGAAGCUGCCUUAGAUACUGACGGCCUCGAGGAAGGUAGGGGCAUGCGGAACUGUAGGUGGAGCGGUGAAAUGCGUAGAUAUCGGAAGGAACACCAGUGGCGAAAGCGGCUUCCUGGUCCAGCACCGACGUCAGGCACGAAAGCGUGGGGAGCAAACAGGG
rnacentral:rRNA from 1 species